rnacentral:rRNA from 1 species
AUACGUAGGUGGCGAGCGUUGUCCGGAAUUACUGGGCGUAAAGGGUGCGUAGGCGGAUAUUUAAGUCAGAUGUGAAAUUCCCGGGCUCAACCUGGGAAGUGCAUUUGAUACUGGGUGUCUAGAGUGUGGAAGAGGUAAGUGGAAUUCCGAGUGUAGAGGUGAAAUUCGUAGAUAUUCGGAGGAACACCAGUGGCGAAGGCGGCUUACUGGUCCAUUACUGACGCUGAGGUGCGAAAGCGUGGGGAGC